UUAAGCGACUAAGCGUACACGGUGGAUGCCCUGGCAGUCAGAGGCGAUGAAGGACGUGCUAAUCUGCGAUAAGCGUCGGUAAGGUGAUAUGAACCGUUAUAACCGGCGAUUUCCGAAUGGGGAAACCCAGUGUGUUUCGACACACUAUCAUUAACUGAAUCCAUAGGUUAAUGAGGCGAACCGGGGGAACUGAAACAUCUAAGUACCCCGAGGAAAAGAAAUCAACCGAGAUUCCCCCAGUAGCGGCGAGCGAACGGGGAGCAGCCCAGAGCCUGAAUCAGUGUGUGUGUUAGUGGAAGCGUCUGGAAAGGCGCGCGAUACAGGGUGACAGCCCCGUACACAAAAAUGCACAUAUUGUGAGCUCGAUGAGUAGGGCGGGACACGUGGUAUCCUGUCUGAAUAUGGGGGGACCAUCCUCCAAGGCUAAAUACUCCUGACUGACCGAUAGUGAACCAGUACCGUGAGGGAAAGGCGAAAAGAACCCCGGCGAGGGGAGUGAAAAAGAACCUGAAACCGUGUACGUACAAGCAGUGGGAGCACGCUUCGGCGUGUGACUGCGUACCUUUUGUAUAAUGGGUCAGCGACUUAUAUUCUGUAGCAAGGUUAACCGAAUAGGGGAGCCGAAGGGAAACCGAGUCUUAACUGGGCGUUAAGUUGCAGGGUAUAGACCCGAAACCCGGUGAUCUAGCCAUGGGCAGGUUGAAGGUUGGGUAACACUAACUGGAGGACCGAACCGACUAAUGUUGAAAAAUUAGCGGAUGACUUGUGGCUGGGGGUGAAAGGCCAAUCAAACCGGGAGAUAGCUGGUUCUCCCCGAAAGCUAUUUAGGUAGCGCCUCGUGAAUUCAUCUCCGGGGGUAGAGCACUGUUUCGGCAAGGGGGUCAUCCCGACUUACCAACCCGAUGCAAACUGCGAAUACCGGAGAAUGUUAUCACGGGAGACACACGGCGGGUGCUAACGUCCGUCGUGAAGAGGGAAACAACCCAGACCGCCAGCUAAGGUCCCAAAGUCAUGGUUAAGUGGGAAACGAUGUGGGAAGGCCCAGACAGCCAGGAUGUUGGCUUAGAAGCAGCCAUCAUUUAAAGAAAGCGUAAUAGCUCACUGGUCGAGUCGGCCUGCGCGGAAGAUGUAACGGGGCUAAACCAUGCACCGAAGCUGCGGCAGCGACGCUUAUGCGUUGUUGGGUAGGGGAGCGUUCUGUAAGCCUGCGAAGGUGUGCUGUGAGGCAUGCUGGAGGUAUCAGAAGUGCGAAUGCUGACAUAAGUAACGAUAAAGCGGGUGAAAAGCCCGCUCGCCGGAAGACCAAGGGUUCCUGUCCAACGUUAAUCGGGGCAGGGUGAGUCGACCCCUAAGGCGAGGCCGAAAGGCGUAGUCGAUGGGAAACAGGUUAAUAUUCCUGUACUUGGUGUUACUGCGAAGGGGGGACGGAGAAGGCUAUGUUGGCCGGGCGACGGUUGUCCCGGUUUAAGCGUGUAGGCUGGUUUUCCAGGCAAAUCCGGAAAAUCAAGGCUGAGGCGUGAUGACGAGGCACUACGGUGCUGAAGCAACAAAUGCCCUGCUUCCAGGAAAAGCCUCUAAGCAUCAGGUAACAUCAAAUCGUACCCCAAACCGACACAGGUGGUCAGGUAGAGAAUACCAAGGCGCUUGAGAGAACUCGGGUGAAGGAACUAGGCAAAAUGGUGCCGUAACUUCGGGAGAAGGCACGCUGAUAUGUAGGUGAGGUCCCUCGCGGAUGGAGCUGAAAUCAGUCGAAGAUACCAGCUGGCUGCAACUGUUUAUUAAAAACACAGCACUGUGCAAACACGAAAGUGGACGUAUACGGUGUGACGCCUGCCCGGUGCCGGAAGGUUAAUUGAUGGGGUUAGCGCAAGCGAAGCUCUUGAUCGAAGCCCCGGUAAACGGCGGCCGUAACUAUAACGGUCCUAAGGUAGCGAAAUUCCUUGUCGGGUAAGUUCCGACCUGCACGAAUGGCGUAAUGAUGGCCAGGCUGUCUCCACCCGAGACUCAGUGAAAUUGAACUCGCUGUGAAGAUGCAGUGUACCCGCGGCAAGACGGAAAGACCCCGUGAACCUUUACUAUAGCUUGACACUGAACAUUGAGCCUUGAUGUGUAGGAUAGGUGGGAGGCUUAGAAGUGUGGACGCCAGUCUGCAUGGAGCCGACCUUGAAAUACCACCCUUUAAUGUUUGAUGUUCUAACGUUGACCCGUAAUCCGGGUUGCGGACAGUGUCUGGUGGGUAGUUUGACUGGGGCGGUCUCCUCCUAAAGAGUAACGGAGGAGCACGAAGGUUGGCUAAUCCUGGUCGGACAUCAGGAGGUUAGUGCAAUGGCAUAAGCCAGCUUGACUGCGAGCGUGACGGCGCGAGCAGGUGCGAAAGCAGGUCAUAGUGAUCCGGUGGUUCUGAAUGGAAGGGCCAUCGCUCAACGGAUAAAAGGUACUCCGGGGAUAACAGGCUGAUACCGCCCAAGAGUUCAUAUCGACGGCGGUGUUUGGCACCUCGAUGUCGGCUCAUCACAUCCUGGGGCUGAAGUAGGUCCCAAGGGUAUGGCUGUUCGCCAUUUAAAGUGGUACGCGAGCUGGGUUUAGAACGUCGUGAGACAGUUCGGUCCCUAUCUGCCGUGGGCGCUGGAGAACUGAGGGGGGCUGCUCCUAGUACGAGAGGACCGGAGUGGACGCAUCACUGGUGUUCGGGUUGUCAUGCCAAUGGCACUGCCCGGUAGCUAAAUGCGGAAGAGAUAAGUGCUGAAAGCAUCUAAGCACGAAACUUGCCCCGAGAUGAGUUCUCCCUGACUCCUUGAGAGUCCUGAAGGAACGUUGAAGACGACGACGUUGAUAGGCCGGGUGUGUAAGCGCAGCGAUGCGUUGAGCUAACCGGUACUAAUGAACCGUGAGGCUUAACCUU
rnacentral:rRNA from 1 species